GCCUGACUAGCUCAGUCAGUAGAGCCUGAGACUCUUAGUGUCAGGGUUGCGGGUUUGAGUCCACGUUAGGCA
rnacentral:tRNA from 1 species